rnacentral:rRNA from 1 species
UCAUGAGUAACGACAAACAGAGUGAGAGACUCUGUCGCCGAAAGACCAAGGGUUCCUGUUCAAUGUUAAUCAGAGCAGGGUUAGCCGGUCCCUAAGGCGAGGCCGAAAGGCGUAGUCGAUGGGAAGCACGUAAAUAUUCGUGCGCCAGUUGGUGUGUGACGAAUGACGGAAGUUGUGUGAGGCAGUUGGUGUCCGAGCGCAGCCUAGUUGUUCCAGGAAAUAGCCCCAACAUAGACCGUACCCGAAACCGACACAGGUGGUCAGGUAGAGUAUACCGAGGCGCUUGAGAGAACUAUUGUGAAGGAACUCGGCAAAUUGCCCUCGUAACUUCGGAAGAAGAGGGACUGAUUCCACGCAAGUGGACGUCAGUGACACAAGCCAGGGGGUGGCGACUGUUUAUCAAAAACACAGGGCUCUGCGAAGCCGUAAGGCGACGUAUAGGGUCUGACUCCUGCCCAGUGCCGGAAGGUUAAGAGGAGAGGUGCAAGCCUUGAAUCGAAGCCCCGGUGAACGGCGGCCGUAACAAUAACGGUCCUAAGGUAGCGAAAUUCCUUGUCGGGUAAGUUCCGACCUGCACGAAUGGAGUAGCGACUUCCCCGCUGUCUCCACAAUAGACUCAGUGAAAUUGAAUUCUCCGUGAAGAUGCGGAGUUCGCGCGGCUAGACGGAAAGACCCUGUGAACCUUUACUGCAGCUUUGCUGUGGCGUUAUCGACGAUUUGUGUAGGCUAGGUGGGGGGCUUUGAAGCGGAGGCGUCAGCUUUCGUGGAGCCGCAAGAUGAAACACCACCCUGAUUUUCGGUGACGUCUAACCGCGAUCCAUCAUCUGGAUCCGGGACCCAGCAUGGCGGGCAGUUUGACUGGGGCGGUCGCCUCCCAAAGAGUAACGGAGGCGCGCGAUGGUAGGCUCAAACCGGUCGGACAUCGGUUGUUGAGUGCAAUGGCAUAAGCCUGCCUGACUGCGAGUCUGACGAGUCGAGCAGAGACGAAAGUCGGUCAUAGUGAUCCGGUGAUCCCGUGUGUGGAGGGUCAUCGCUCAACGGAUAAAAGGUACUCCGGGGAUAACAGGCUGAUCGCCCCCAAGCGUCCAUAGCGACGGGGCGGUUUGGCACCUCGAUGUCGGCUCGUCACAUCCUGGGGCUGGAGCAGGUCCCAAGGGUAUGGCUGUUCGCCAUUUAAAGUGGUACGUGGGCUGGGUUCAGAACGUCGUGAGACAGUUUGGUCCCUAUCUACCGUGCGUGUUGGAAACUUGAGAGGAUUUGUCCUUAGUACGAGAGGACCGGGAUGAACGCACCUCUGGUGCACCAGUCGUCAUGCCAAUGGCGCAGCUGGGUAGCUAAGUGCGGACGGGAUAAACGCUGAAAGCAUCUAAGCGUGAAACCCCCCUCAAAACUAGGUUUCCCUAGAGAGCCGUAGAAGACUACUACGUUGAUAGGCCAGGUGUGGAAGAGCCGCGAGGCUUGAAGCUGACUGGUACUAAUCGCCC